CAGCCGCCGCGGUAAUACAGAGGGUGCGAGCGUUAAUCGGAUUUACUGGGCGUAAAGCGUGCGUAGGCGGCUUUUUAAGUCGGAUGUGAAAUCCCUGAGCUUAACUUAGGAAUUGCAUUCGAUACUGGGAAGCUAGAGUAUGGGAGAGGAUGGUAGAAUUCCAGGUGUAGCGGUGAAAUGCGUAGAGAUCUGGAGGUAUACCGAUGGCGAAGGCAGCCAUCUGGCCUAAUACUGACGCUGAGGUACGAAAGCAUGGGGAGCAAACAGGAUUAGAUACCCGAGUAGUCCCUGUCUCUUAUAC
rnacentral:rRNA from 1 species